rnacentral:rRNA from 1 species
UACGUAGGGUGCGAGCGUUGUCCGGAAUUACUGGGCGUAAAGAGCUCGUAGGCGGUUCGUCGCGUCGGCUGUGAAAUCCCGAGGCUCAACCUCGGGUCUGCAGUCGAUACGGGCGGACUGGAGUACUGCAGGGGAGACUGGAAUUCCUGGUGUAGCGGUGAAAUGCGCAGAUAUCAGGAGGAACACCGGUGGCGAAGGCGGGUCUCUGGGCAGUUACUGACGCUGAGGAGCGAAAGCGUGGGGAGCGAACAGG